AGUAGCGGGAUCGCUAGGCUUCCGCGUUCCGGGCCUGUCGCUGUGGUAGAGGCGGCAGCGGCGGCGGCGGCGGCGGCGGGGUGGCCGAUAGGGACUCGGGCUACAGGAGUAGGGCUCCGGGCAUGGACGUUUCGGGGCAGGAGACCGACUGGCGUAGCGCCGCCUUUCGGCAGAAGCUGGUCAGCCAAAUUGAGGAUGCCAUGAGGAAAGCUGGUGUGGCCCACAGUAAAUCUAGCAAGGAUAUGGAGAGUCAUGUGUUCCUGAAGGCCAAGACCCGGGAUGAAUAUCUUUCCCUUGUGGCCCGACUCAUUAUCCAUUUCCGAGAUAUUCAUAACAAGAAAUCCCAAGCUUCUGUCAGUGGUAAGUCUUCCUUCUGAGACUGUUAUCUCCACCCUCCAGUAUGGUGUGGCAGAAAUGAGAUAGUGUGUGCAUAGGUCGACCACUUGUGGGACAGGAGCAUUCAAAAGAUCUCAGGUGAGGUGGCACUGGUUGGCCGUGCCCCAGCUUCUACUCCACCCUUUGGUUUCUUGCAGACUGAAGACAACCCAGACAACCCAGUGCUUUUCCAUUUUGUUUUAUUUAGAAGGCUUCGACAUAUGACCUAGGAGAACCACUGUAGCACAGUAUAAUAGCCCAUAUAAUAAGUCAUAGAUAGCAGCUGUGGCGACUCGCUUUCUCUCUCUCUCUUUUCGGGGAGGGUGUGUGUGUGCUUCAGACAGGUUCUCUUUAUGUAGCUCUGGCUGCCAUGGAGCUCUACGUUGUCAGGCCGGUCUCAAAUCAGUAGAGAUCUGACUCCUGUGCCUCCCAGGUGCUGGGACAAAAGAUUUGUACCACCAUAGCCAACUGUGUUCACUUUCUUUUUGUUGUUUUGAUUUCUCUGUGUAGUCCUGGAACUCAUCCUGUAGUCCAGGUUAGCCCUGAACUCAAGAUCUACCGGCCUCUGUCUCCUGAGUGCUGGGAUUACCCACCGUUUUCACUUUCUUAAGUUACAAGAAACUUUCUUGAGUUCAGAAAUCUAUUUUAAUUUCAAGGUUUAUUAUAUAAGGGACAUUAUGUCCACUGAAUUGUACCCUGGGCUUUGUCUUCUGAACUGCCAUCAUGUUUGCCGAUCCACUUUGGCCAGCUGAUCUUUAGUCUGUCAGAAAGGAUGUGAGGUUCUUCGAGAGAGUGCUUGCCUAUAUAUCAUGUACAGAGUAAUAUAUAUAUAUAUAUAUAUAUAUAUAUAUAUAUAUAUAUAUAUGUACUUAUAUAUGGUUCUGCGAGAGAGUGCUUGCCUAUAUAUCAUGUACAGGUAUAUAUAUAUAUAUAUCAGGUACAGAGCUCUGUCUGCAGAAUCACCACCACCACUAUCCCCC
rnacentral:lncRNA from 1 species